AACGUAGGUCACAAGCGUUGUCCGGAAUUACUGGGUGUAAAGGGAGCGCAGGCGGGAAGACAAGUUGGAAGUGAAAUCCAUGGGCUCAACCCAUGAACUGCUUUCAAAACUGUUUUUCUUGAGUAGUGCAGAGGUAGGCGGAAUUCCCGGUGUAGCGGUGGAAUGCGUAGAUAUCGGGAGGAACACCAGUGGCGAAGGCGGCCUACUGGGCACCAACUGACGCUGAGGCUCGAAAGUGUGGGUAGCAAACAGGAUUAGAUACCCCGGUAGUCCGGCACUACU
rnacentral:rRNA from 1 species